GUGGGGAAUAUUGGGCAAUGGGCGCAAGCCUGACCCAGCAACGCCGCGUGAAGGAAGAAGGCUUUCGGGUUGUAAACUUCUUUUACCAGGGACGAAACAAAUGACGGUACCUGGUGAAUAAGCCACGGCUAACUACGUGCCAGCAGCCGCGGUAAUACGUAGGUGGCGAGCGUUAUCCGGAUUUAUUGGGUGUAAAGGGCGUGUAGGCGGGACAGCAAGUCAGAUGUGAAAACCAGAGGCUCAACCUCUGGCCUGCAUUUGAAACUGUUGUUCUUGAGUGUCGGAGAGGUAAUCGGAAUUCCGUGUGUAGCGGUGAAAUGCGUAGAUAUACGGAGGAACACCAGUGGCGAAGGCGGCUUACUGGACUGUAACUGACGCUGAGGCGCGAAAGUGUGGGGAGCAAACAGGAUUAGAUACCCCAGUAGUCC
rnacentral:rRNA from 1 species